rnacentral:rRNA from 1 species
UACGUAGGUGGCUAGCGUUGUCCGGAUUACUGGGCGUAAAGAGCGCGCAGGCGGUCGUUCAAGUCGAGUGUGAAAGCCCCCCGGCUCAACUGGGGAGGGUCACUCGAUACUGAUCGACUCGAAGGCAGGAGAGGGAAGCGGAAUUCCCGGUGUAGUGGUGAAAUGCGUAGAUAUCGGGAGGGAAACACCAGUGGCGAAGGCGG